GCCUUGGUAGCUCAGUUGGUGGAGCGCUCGGCUGUUAACCGAGUGGUCGCAGGUUCAAGUCCUGCCCAAGGCG
rnacentral:tRNA from 1 species